rnacentral:rRNA from 1 species
AACGAACGCUGGCGGCAUGCUUAACACAUGCAAGUCGAGCGAGAGGCGGACGGGUGAGCAAUGUAUGGGAACCUGCCUGAUCGAUGGGGUAAACGACUGGAACCGGUAGCUAAAACUGCAUAACAUCAGAUGUGCCCAGGUGGGAUUAGCUAGUUGGUGGGGUAAUGGCUCACCUAGGCGACGAUCCCUAGCUGGGCUGAGAGGAUGACCGGCCACACUGGAACGGAGACACGGUCCAGACUCCUACGGGAGGCAGCAGUGGGGAAUAUUGGACAAUGGGCGAAAGCCUGAUGCAGCCAUGCCGCGUGUGUGAAGAAGGUCUUCGGGUUGUAAAGCACUUUCAGCGAGGAGGCGUUACUCGCAGAAGAAGCACCGGCUAACUCCGUGCCAGCCGCCGCGGUAAUUC